rnacentral:rRNA from 1 species
AUUGAACGCUGGCGGCAGGCCUAACACAUGCAAGUCGAGCGGAUGAAGGGAGCUUGCUCCUGGAUUCAGCGGCGGACGGGUGAGUAAUGCCCAGGAAUCUGCCUGGUAGUGGGGGAUAACGUCCGGAAACGGGCGCUAAUACCGCAUACGUCCUGAGGGAGAAAGUGGGGGAUCCUCGGACCUCACGCUAUCAGAUGAGCCUAGGUCGGAUUAGCUAGUUGGUGGGGUAAAGGCCUACCAAGGCGACGAUCCGUAACUGGUCUGAGAGGAUGAUCAGUCACACUGGAACUGAGACACGGUCCAGACUCCUACGGGAGGCAGCAGUGGGGAAUAUUGGACAAUGGGCGAAAGCCUGAUCCAGCCAUGCCGCGUGUGUGAAGAAGGUCUUCGGAUUGUAAAGCACUUUAAGUUGGGAGGAAGGGCAGUAAGUUAAUACCUUGCUGUUUUGACGUUACCAACAGAAUAAGCACCGGCUAACUUCGUG